rnacentral:rRNA from 1 species
GACGUAGGGGGCAAGCGUUGUUCGGAAUUAUUGGGCGUAAAGCGCUCGUAGGCGGGACUGGAAGUCCGUGUUGAAAGACCUCGGCUCAACUGAGGGACCGGCUCGGAUACUCUAGUUCUUGAGGCAAUCAGAGGGUGAUGGAAUUCCCGGUGUAGCGGUGAAAUGCGUAGAUAUCAUUUGGAACGCCAAUGGUGAAAACAGCUCGCUGGGGGUGCACUGACACUGAGACACGAAAGCCAGGGGAGCGAACGGG